ACAUUUUGGCUUUUAUUUUAUUUUUUUAUUUUUUUUUAUUUCAUCGUGUGUAGGCAGUACUACAGUACAGAUGGAGUCAGACUGGGAGUUCAGAGUGGACCGCCGUCUGUGUUGUGUGCAGCACACAUGCAUGCGUCGGCUGCAGCAGACUGAAUGAUGGGUUUGAGCGGGACAUCAGGACGUCGGGUCGCUGUCGACAGUCUCCGGGGCUGGAGUGAUGAUGCCACAGGUUCUACUUUUGGUUUUGUGACAAUGAUGAUGACAACACCAGAAAAGACGAAGGGAGUGAAGAGGAAGAGGAGUUGUAAUGGAAGACCAUCAAAGACUGAGAUGGAAGAGUCUAAGAGCAGACAGGAUGGACAGCAGCACUUUAUGGCAGGAGUGAGGAGGAGAUGAGGGGUGAGGGGCUGUAAAGGAGCAUCUGCCGAGGGAGAAGGAGGAGGAAGAGGAAGAGGAGGAGGAGACAGAGUUCCUGUAACGUGGCUGGUCACACGUUAGCUCUUUCCUGAUUCGGCGCCCGGACCGGUAGUUGGAAUGAACAGGGGAGACGUAGUGAUCUGCUCCAGGAGGCAAGCUAACAUUAGCUCCGGUUCAUUGCUCCACGUUGUGCUUGUCCGCAGCAAAGCACUUUUUGAAUGGAGGUCCAUCUGUCUGUCCGACUGCUGUAAACUCUUCCUGCUGCUGCUCCUCCUCCUGCUCCUGCUCCUCGUUCUCCUCCUGGAGCCUCAUGUUUCCCGGUAAAUAUUUGAGAUUAAAGAUUUAGUAAUGUAUUUAAAAGAAGUGAAACUUGAAGGGUUUUUUUUUUUAAUCUGUGUGUGUAAUGUUAACAUGAGUUUAAACCUAUAUAUAAAAGUAAACAUAACAUUUCUGGAAUCAGAGCCUUAAAGGACGCAACAUCAUACAUUUCUAGUGAUUUACUUUUUUAGAUAUAUAAAUCUAUUUAUAAU